rnacentral:rRNA from 1 species
AUUGAACGCUGGCGGCAGGCCUAACACAUGCAAGUCGAGCGGAUGAAGGGAGCUUGCUCCUGGAUUCAGCGGCGGACGGGUGAGUAAUGCCUAGGAAUCUGCCUGGUAGUGGGGGAUAACGUCCGGAAACGGGCGCUAAUACCGCAUACGACCUGAGGGAGAAAGUGGGGGAUCUUCGGACCUCACGCUAUCAGAUGAGCCUAGGUCGGAUUAGCUAGUUGGUGGGGUAAAGGCCUACCAAGGCGACGAUCCGUAACUGGUCUGAGAGGAUGAUCAGUCACACUGGAACUGAGACACGGUCCAGACUCCUACGGGAGGUAGCAGUGGGGAAUAUUGGACAAUGGGCGAAAGCCUGAUCCAGCCAUGCCGCGUGUGUGAAGAAGGUCUUCGGAUUGUAAAGCACUUUAAGUUGGGAGGAAGGGCAGUAAGUUAAUACCUUGCUGUUUUGACGUUACCAACAGAAUAAGCACCGGCUAACUUCGUG